rnacentral:rRNA from 1 species
UACAGGGGGUGCAAACGUUUGCUCGGAAUCAUUGGGCGUAAAGCGCACGUAGGCGGUUCGUUAUGUCGGAUGUGAAAGCCCUUGGCUUAACCGAGGAAGUGCAUCCGAAACUGGCGAGCUAGAAUCUUGGAGAGGCGAGUGGAAUUCCGAGUGUAGAGGUGAAAUUCGUAGAUAUUCGGAAGAACACCAGUGGCGAAGGCGACUCGCUGGACAAGUAUUGACGCUGAGGUGGCGAAAAGCGUGGGAGCAAACAGG